rnacentral:rRNA from 1 species
GACGUAGGGCGCGAGCGUUGUCCGGAUUUAUUGGGCGUAAAGAGCUCGUAGGCGGCUUGUCGCGUCGGUUGUGAAAGCUCAGGGCUCAACCCUGAGACGCCAAUCGAUACGGAUCGGCUAGAGGUAGGUAGGGGAAAGUGGAAUUCCUGGUGUAGCGGUGAAAUGCGCAGAUAUCAGGAGGAACACCGGUGGCGAAGGCGGCUUUCUGGGCCUUACCUGACGCUGAGGAGCGAAAGCUGGGGGAGCAAACAGG